rnacentral:rRNA from 1 species
GACGAACGCUGGCGGCGUGCUUAACACAUGCAAGUCGAACGGAAAGGCCCUGCUUUUGUUGGGUGGUUGAGUGGCGAACGGGUGAGUAACACGUGAGUAACCUGCCCCUGACUUUGGGAUAACUCCAGGAAACUGGGGCUAAUACCGGAUAUGAGCUCCUGCUGCCUGGUGGGGGUUGGGAAGGUUCGGUGGUUGGGGAUGGGCGGCGGGCUUGUCAGCUUGUUGGUGGGGGUGUGGGUGACCAAGGCUGUGCUGGGUAGCCGGCCUGGGAGGGUGGCCGGCGACAUUGGGACUGGGAUACGGCGCAGAGCCGUACUGGGGACAACAGUGGAGAAUAUGGCACAAUGGGCGGGAGCCUGAUGCAGAGGCGCCGCGUGCGGGAUGUCGGCCUUCGGGUUGGAAACCGCUUUCGCCGGUGACGUAGCGUGAGUGACGGUAAUGGGUAAAGAAGCACCGGCUAACUACGUG